GUGGGUUCUUUCUGAUUAGCUCUUAAUUGAGAUCACCUGUCACGCACCCCUUUAUUAAAGGUGAACACAAUGGGUUUGGUUUACUUUUUGCAUCGGCCUGUGUCAAUCGAGGUUGAGUUUAGUGAGGGUUGAAAGUUUUCGAUCUAGAUUGCAGAUCACUAUUGUCACUUUAUACAAACUGAAAGUAUGCGUUGUUGCGUGUUUGUUUUUGUGGGCAUUUGACUGAACAGCCCAGACAAAUAUUGCUACCAACAUGGCACUUCGAAACAGACCACCGCAGUGUUAGAUGACUGACAAGAUCUAUGGGGGGGCCCCCUUUGGGCCCCCCCAUACCAACUUAGUCUUCAAAGGAAUCUAGUGCCAUGGGUCUCCAGUGUCUUCAAAACAUCCUCGGAAUACAUGUGUAUGAAUGGUCCACCGAAGUGGCUUCCAGAGCCAUCUUUCGGUCUUGGUCAGGAUUUUUACAGUUGCCCUUCAAUGUAGCAGGCUACGGGUUUCUGAAGAAGCCUGCUUUACGUAGCAUUGGAGUACAAAUAUUGUGCAAAAUGCUCAUGUAAUUGCACUAGCACUGGUAACCUGUAGAUUAGCUUAGUUUAACGUCAUUCUGUACUGUCUGUCAAAUGUGUGGCUUACUUUAAGUCCACAAGGCCCUCUGGUAAACCACGUUUGAACAACCCUGGACAAGGUCAUUAGUCACUGGGUGUGUGCUAAAGUUUUGUUCCAUUUUUCACUAGUUGGUUAAGGUUUGGUAGAAUUGUUUGGAUGCUAGCGACGUGAUGGCGUAUGUACAAGAGCCUACCGUGGCCAGGCCACAGUUGCGACGGCCACGGCCAGAUGGCCUAGUGUGAGUGCAACCUUGAUUGCAUUUCUAUACUGUUUACCAUUGGAUGUUUAUGCAAUUUGGCUUAAUUCAUCCGCUGUAAAGCUGCAUUUGACUAUUCCAGGGUCGUUUUGUACAGGCUUUCAAUUGACCAUGUUGACUAGUUUGUGGGAAGUUUUUUUUUUUUUUACCCUUGCUUACAAUCCAACGGUUGCGACCACUUAUGCAACUGGGCUGUGACCUUGCAAUUCUAGUUGCAUAUUUGUACAUGCAAGCUUGUCCAUUUCUAUCGCCAUCACCAACACUAGCUUCAGCAUUUCCUUGUAGGCCAUUAGCUGACUUGUGUAUUGGAGCGAUGAUUUGGGUAUUUUAAGAUGCUUGAAAACCUAAAAUAAAGCAUAAUGCGUGUCUGGUGUGCAAGAGCCAAUUUGUUGGCUUGCAGUAGUCGAGGAGUUGCCGUAGGUCGUAAGCCAUCUGGAGGUUGUGGCAAUGGAGGCUUGUGGUAGAUCUGCCAUCCAAGAAAGGUUAAUUCUUCUGAAGCAUGAUUAAUAGUUUAGUAAAUUUAAUCUAUUCAUAUAGAACUAUAAAAUCCAAGACUGCGGCCAGUAACUUGGAUCGCAAUAUGUGGGAAGUAUUAGUCUUCAUUUGUAACAGAAUAAUUAACAUGACCUUCCAUUUUCUAACUAGGGGGACUUGACUGGUGAGUCUACUGGAUUAAUCAGUAGCGGUACUUUGCCCAACAGAUUUGAUGGCAUGACUACAGGGUGACAAAGACAAUUAUUCCCUGCCUAUCAAAAGAGACUUCUAAAACAUAUCUGCUAGAACAGUUCCUAUACUUUUUGUAUAAUUUGGUCAUGCUGCAAAUUUACUUUUUGUAGUUGCUCCAUAUUUAGUUCUUUGACAGCCUCACCUGCUAGAAAAGUCUAUUGAAAUCGGCUAAAUAUAAUGAACUAAAUUAAUAGCCAUGAAAUGUUGUCACUCAUACUAAUGGCAAACACCCCCUUUCAGUUGGUGGUUCAACACUGAUGUCUCUCUAGGCUUGAGGGAGAGCUCACAAGUCAAUUACACGAAUGUCCUAGUGAACGACUGCAGGUCGUUCACACAAUAGAGGAGUGUUUGAAGCGACGUGUGUGGGUGGAUUGGUCGUUGAAAAUCAAGCUCUGGCCAGCAGAGGCGCUAUAGAGUAUGGACUAAACACUCACACACUUUCAGGUCCCCUCUUGGCAAAAGUUGUGAAAAUGCGUCAAAAUAUUUUAGCCAUGUUUUUAGGUUGACACUCACACACUUUCAGGUCCCCUCUUGGCAAAAGUUGUGAAAAUGCGUCAAAAUAUUUUAGCCAUGUUUUUAGGUUGAGAGAGGUUGAAAGUGUGUGAGCAAGGCAUGACCAAAAGGGGACCUGAAAAAUGUCCCCUCUUGGCUCGGAGGUCCCCUGUUGGUGAAGGUGUUACGACGCCGAAGUCCACUGUUGGAUAGUUAGGCAAGUACACACACAUACACACAUUCUCCCUCUCACAGACUAAUUAUUUGACUCAUACACACACACACAUUCACUCUGAAACUGUUCUCUAUAAUACACACACACACACACACACACACACACACACACACACACACACACACACACACACACACACACACACACACACACACACACACACACACAGUCUAUGACGGGUUAUUCCCACAGUUUUAAUAUCUCCACGUUGCUUAAUAAUUUCUUCGAGGUUUUCAUCAUUGAGCUCCAGAUCCUGGAGUGAAAUCGCAUCGGGAGGGAUUAAAGGCGCUAUUAAAGCCAACCAGCCAUGUUUACCAGGGGAUAAAGUCAAACUUCAAUCAGAGUUCGGGUGGCUUGACGCAGUUUCAUUUUGAUAUUGGUAGGGAUUUUCAGAUUCUCCAAUAAAGCCGGCAAAUAAUACAAGUCUGUCACCUACCUUGAACCAAAUAUACAACAAGGACUUUCUUUCAAUUCCUGCCGUCAAAAUGUGAGAUAUGCAAGAUUAAAGAUCGCUAUCUCAUUCCUAACGGGAAGGAAGUAAAUUACAAGUACAAAAUGUCAUUCAAAGGUCUAUAUCACUCCUGAGUGAUCAACACCAGCUAGUACACACGCUCACAUCUGUCUGGUGCAGCAGCUGCAGGGAGUCCCUGAAUGGACCGGUGGAAAGGAUUCAUCUUGGCUGUAUACUCAAAGUAUCUCCAGGCAGGAAGACCCCCAGGGACCUAAGGACCCCCACACAUAGACUGCUUCGGUUGCCCACUGUCCCAUUCGUACCUUUGGUAUUUGAGGUCAGUCAGUCCCAUGGUCAGUCCAACCACAGUGCCCUCCCACAAUGCACCACACUUCCCUCCCACAAUGCACCACAGUGCCCUCCCACAAUGCACCACAGUCCCCUCCCACAAUGCACCACAGUGCCCCCCCACAAUGCACCACAGUGCCCUCCCACAAUGCACCACAGUGCCCUCCCAGAAUGCACCACAGUGCCCUCCCACAAUGCACCACGGUCGCCUCCCACAAUGCACCACAGUGCCCACCCAGAAUGCACCACAGUGCCCUCCUGAUGCUCCCAUCCCGACCGACGCUCUCGUGUCUCCAGGGUCACCGGCGAGCCACUGUGACUUCCUGAACUUCCCUCCGGGGAUUAAGGAAGUGUUAUCUAGAAAGCCCCAGGAUACUUACACUGAAAUCCUAAUUGGAGUGUCGUCGAGUGUAGAGCCAGUGGAGCCCUGCAUUGGGCCUGGAUUGCCGCAGUGUGGGGCAGGGUGCUCAGCUGAACCGGUGGUCCCCCGCACCUCCCAACCACCACCGCCUGCACCUGGUCAACAACACCAUGUGAUGAGUGGGUCUCCCUCGGGCCGCAUCGCCCCCCACAGGCUUCAAACCAACAACUCACACACAUGGCUCCGUGUGCAUAAUGGAAGGCGGAACGCUGGAUUCCAGGAGAGAUUACUGCACUGCGUCUCACCGGCCUGCUGGCUGGAGCUCUCUCUAUUGUUUGGCGUCACACGCUCCCGCUGACGAGGAGACGCCGAUCAACCCCUACGAACAACAACAUCACCGAUUUAUUCUGGGCGACGUGCAGGACUCUCCACGCCGGUCCCCUGAUUAGCCCUGUAAUCAGCAAAAGAACAAAGUGAUUAUUAGCUCGCACACUCGACUGUCUUCAGGGGAAUCUUGUUUUCUCUUCCUCCUCGCCCUCCUCUUCUUUUCUCUGCCUGAUUACAUUAAGGGAGAGCCCUCUUCCCGUCUCCCCAUGCCACGCCGACUGGAAAUCGUUUGCUUUAUUUUUGUGUUCUUCUGUAGCCGCCAUCCUCCCUGCUCCAGAGUUCCUUCGCUGUCGCCCUUCCUCUCGUCUCCUUUCACCUCCUCUUAAUCAUUGGCGCCAAGUGAUUACAUCACCUGAUUGCAGCCCUAUUCUUGAUUACGACGUGACAGCUGGCUUGACACAAACACAUGUCGGGAAGUGUUAGCGGAAAGAAACUUGUCUU
ensembl:lncRNA